UGGGGAAUAUUGCACAAUGGGGGAAACCCUGAUGCAGCGACGCCGCGUGAGCGAAGAAGGCUUUCGAGUCGUAAAGCUCUGUCCUAUGAGAAGAUAAUGACGGUAUCAUAGGAGGAAGCCCUGGCUAAAUACGUGCCAGCAGCCGCGGUAAUACGUAUGGGGCGAGCGUUGUCCGGAAUUAUUGGGCGUAAAGGGUACGUAGGCGGUUUUUUAAGUCAGGUGUCAAAGCGUGGAGCUUAACUCCAUUAAGCACUUGAAACUGAAAGACUUGAGUGAAGGAGAGGAAAGUGGAAUUCCUAGUGUAGCGGUGAAAUGCGUAGAUAUUAGGAGGAAUACCGGUGGCGAAGGCGACUUUCUGGACUUUUACUGACGCUCAGGUACGAAAGCGUGGGGAGCAAACAGGA
rnacentral:rRNA from 1 species